AAAACUUGCAUUACACUACAAUGCAUCUCCUGAAUGCAACUCAGACACUUUAAUUAAGCUAAAGCUUU
rnacentral:tRNA from 1 species